UGAGCGUGUGUGGGAACAGGAACCGAGGAGGCGUAUUCUUCAUUUGUGCUUUUGUUUGCUAUGCGGUUGGCACACGGGUCCUACCUAUCGGUGAAAUGGUGAGGAUGAUGAGAGUAGGAGUUCAUGAAAUGCCCUCUCCACCUGGCGUGGGAACUGGCAACAGGGACGAGGAGGAGUUCUUGGAACUACCGCCAACCACUGGGAAGUUAAGGCGACGUCGCAUUUCCGGGGUGGCAACCUUUUUUUGGUAAUCGUACGUGGGAAUAGGAACUGAGGAGGCGCAUUCGUCAUUUGCAUUUUCAGCUAUACGGUUGCCAUGCAGGUCCCACCUGCUGGCGCUCGAAUCUUGGUGGAUUCUUCAUCACUCAGAUCUUGGUGGAUUCUUCAUCGGUUCUUCAUGGAUUUUCUUAUUUUUUAUUUUGAUUCAUAUUGAAAACUUUAAACAUGUGUAGAUUUCUCAUUUGUUGUCCAAAUCAGGUGGUUCUUUUUUCUAACUUCGUAGAAGAAGUUUAUCUAUUUU
rnacentral:lncRNA from 1 species